UGAACAGAGACUUAUAGUGCAAUUUUAGUGAAAUGUUAGAAAUUGUUAGAUAGAACAACGUAAUGCAGUUCAACUUAGCAUGAGCAAAACUGAGCUGAAGUAUGUCUACAAAAUGCAAAAGAAAGGCCUCUUCUCUCAAUGCCACCUUCCAGCAAAAGCCGUGCAGGGUCCUGAGCCGUCUGGCUGCUUUCUGGACAUCACUGCCUCUCUGAUGGAACAGCAGAACAGAUGUUACCUACAGUAGCUGCCCUCAGUAUAUGGCUCACUUUCUGUAGUGGCUCAUCCACCUUCUGUCUGAGCAGAACAACAACUUGAUAACAGUUGUAAUGUCGUCAUCAAAGCCAUUCUUCAAAUGUGUGGAGUGGGAGAAGUGAAGGGUAUGCAACAGAGAGGUAUGUGGUGGUGUGGAGACCCUGGAUGCAGCUCCUGCAGCAAGUAUCCCACAGGCAAGGACCAGAGGUUGCCUGUCAUUGAGAUGUAGGGUCUCAAGGCUACAGUUAUACAUCACAGGAUUUGCACUGCAAUCAUUUGGUAACAAUUCAUCAGAAAAUAUUCUGUGUCCUUCACACUGAAGUGAGAAAGAGUAAGCCCUGUCACAAUGCAUUCUGACCACAGCCAGCAUCAUAGAAGCCUCAUUCCAUUGCCUAUCACUGCUGCAUCAACUGGGCAUUUUCAUUCAUUCUAUGCAUUUGUUAUUUUAAUCUUAAAAUGGCCCUCUGUGAAAUUCAGUUGAGAUAUUUCUGUUUUCAAUAAUACAUUGUCCAUUAAAUGCUUUCCUUACUCCUUCAGACGUCUCUGAAAUCAAGCACUGCAGUCUGCUGACAUGUUGACAGUUUUAUACGAAUUAAUGUAAAAGGAGUCGGAAGUGACUGACAAAGAUUUGUUUAUUAUUAUUAAACUAACAGUGAAUCUAAGUUGCUCUACUGAAAAGAAAAUUAAGAGAAGGAGGAAACUGAAGUACCAGUCUGCAAUGUAUGAUUCAGAAUAUAUUCUAUUCUUCAAUUUAUAAUGAAUAAUUUUAAAAAUUAAGGCUGCUGCCUGGAGGCAGAAAUCCUUCUUCUGAAUUGCA
ensembl:lncRNA